ensembl:lncRNA
UGAAGCAGGCUGCAUUACCCAGCCUGGCUCCCCUGCACAAGGAAGGCUGCAGAAGACACAUCAAGCUGGCAUCCACAAGCCAGCAGAGCAGCACAGAGGAUUCUUCUUGCCUUUCUCUGCAAAAUGAGAACUCAUCCCUCCUUCUGGACCAGUUGGAAAAGUUACCAAAGCAAACUCCCUGCUUUUGCAGAAUACUGGUGAUAUUCUUGAUCUUUUUGUCUCCCCUUUCAUAUUCUGUAACUUCUGAUGUAUGCUGUUUCUAUCUUCUUCUCCACUUAGUAUAUUCCAUACUUCCAGUUUAUUAAUUUGUUUUCUCCUAAAGUGGGAUAUGUUUAUAUGUUUUUAGGCAAAACAAUAUUUGCACUUUGCCAAGGAAUUUGAGAUUCCUUGGACAUUUUAAUG